CGUGCUUACACAUGCAAGUCGAACGGGAUCCAUCAAGCUUGCUUGGUGGUGAGAGUGGCGAACGGGUGAGUAAUGCGUGACCGACCUGCCCCAUACACCGGAAUAGCUCCUGGAAACGGGUGGUAAUGCCGGAUGCUCCAGUUGAUCGCAUGGUCUUCUGGGAAAGCUUUCGCGGUAUGGGAUGGGGUCGCGUCCUAUCAGCUUGACGGCGGGGUAACGGCCCACCGUGGCUUCGACGGGUAGCCGGCCUGAGAGGGCGACCGGCCACAUUGGGACUGAGAUACGGCCCAGACUCCUACGGGAGGCAGCAGUGGGGAAUAUUGCACAAUGGGCGCAAGCCUGAUGCAGCGACGCCGCGUGAGGGAUGGAGGCCUUCGGGUUGUAAACCUCUUUUAUCGGGGAGCAAGCGAGAGUGAGUUUACCCGUUGAAUAAGCACCGGCUAACUACGUGCCAGCAGCCGCGGUAAUACGUAGGGUGCAAGCGUUAUCCGGAAUUAUUGGGCGUAAAGGGCUCGUAGGCGGUUCGUCGCGUCCGGUGUGAAAGUCCAUCGCUUAACGGUGGAUCCGCGCCGGGUACGGGCGGGCUUGAGUGCGGUAGGGGAGACUGGAAUUCCCGGUGNUACGGUGGAAUGUGUAGAUAUCGGGAAGAACACCUAUGGCGAANGCAGGUCUCUGGGCCGUUACUGACGCUGAAGAGCGAAAAGCGUGGGAGCGAACAGGAUUAGAUACCCUGGUAGUCCACGCCCGUAACGGUGGAUGCUUGGAUGUGGGGCCCCGUCCCACGGGUCCCGUGUCGAGCUAACGCNGUAAGCAUCCCGCCUGGGGGAGUACGGGCCGCAAGGCUAAAACUCNANGAAAAUUGACGGGGGGGCCGCCACAAGCGGCGGACCAUGCCGGAUUAAAUCGAUGCCACGCCGAAAAACUUUACUGGGGCUUGAAAGUUCCCCAACGGCGUAAAAAAAUCGCUUUCUCUCCUGGGGGGGGUUCCCCG
rnacentral:rRNA from 1 species